GCGGGCGUAAUUCAAUUGGUAGAAUGCUUCCUUGCCAAGGAAGAUGUUUACGGGUUCGAGCCCCGUCGCCCGCU
rnacentral:tRNA from 1 species